rnacentral:tRNA from 1 species
UGGCUCAGACAGUAAAGCGUCUGCCUGAAAUGCAGGAGACCCAGGUUCGAUCCUUGG